rnacentral:lncRNA from 10 species
ACAGGGUCAUUUAUAACUUGAUGCGUCCACCCUACUGCUGUGUCUGGUUUCCAUUGGCUGGAACGGGACCUCACAUUCUGUAUUUGUCCUGAUUGACUAGCAACUUAGAACUUUUCAAAAGAGGCAAAGGCAGAGGAGAACAAAGGAAGGAGGAAGUAACUUGUGGAAUGCCAAGAUGUGCAGAAGGGAAAAUCGAAAGCCAAGUGACUUUGAGAAAAGGACAUACACUUCCAGCUUGAUGUGGACUCUGCGCCAUGCCAGUUCCCGUAAACGUCGACAGGUCUCAGUGGUGGUGACUUCAGGGUGCAUAUGGAUAGACAGGACACUUGGUCAGCCAGAAAGCUUGUGCUGCUGAGUGAAGAAGGCAGAUUUGGUGCAUUGGAAGACAGCAACUGCAGAUGCAGAGGAACUGGAAGGGAAUCACAGCUGGUCAUGCCAAAGGGGCAGCCCAACCUAUGUUCAUUCAGCAACCAUGGCAGUUUCUCUACAUCUGUUUUCAAUUCGAGCUCCAGGUCA